CAUUCACGGAGAGUUUGAUCCUGGCUCAGGACGAACGCUGGCGGCGUGCUUAACACAUGCAAGUCGAACGAUGAAGCCCUUCGGGGUGGAUUAGUGGCGAACGGGUGAGUAACACGUGGGCAAUCUGCCCUUCACUCUGGGACAAGCCCUGGAAACGGGGUCUAAUACCGGAUAACACUCUCUUCCUCCUGGGAGGGGGUUGAAAGCUCCGGCGGUGAAGGAUGAGCCCG
rnacentral:rRNA from 1 species